CACAAAUAAAUGUCCCUGAGUUUCAAGACAAGCCAGCCAUUAAAAUCUUUUAGGGGGAUCCAGAGAAGAUGAGUUAAAUUGGAAUGGACUUGAAAAAACUGAUUUAGUUGGAUUUAUGGAUCACAGUCAUGAAAAGGUAAAGAUACCAACUUGUUUUGUGAAUUUAAUCUUUAUUCCUUACUUUUUUGCCCCUACUGUUUGUAAUUCCUACUUUAUAAUGAAAUCCUUCUUGUGACUUAUAGAAAUUAACUGGGGAAAAUGUUUUUCUUGUUCUCCAUUUCCUUUAAAUUUGUUUUUAGAUAACACUGCAUUGCAAGUAUGUGUGGUACAGUAAAAUGUUGCCAAUUGUAUCUGCGCUGAUAACAUGCCAUUUGCUGUAGGUCAGUUUCCUACCCCCUCCCCCAACUAUUCCUAGCCAGUGGUAGCAUGCUUCUUACUUCCAAAUAUAUGUGUGUGUGUGUGUGUGUGUGUGUGUGUGUGUGCCUGUGUGUAUCAACAAUGUGAUCCUAAAAUAAAAGAAUGACAUAUAUUUGACAUUAUUUACAUAGUAAAUAUGGGAGCACAUAAAUCAAUUACAGAAUAAAAUCAAUUUUUCAAGGA
rnacentral:antisense_RNA from 1 species